rnacentral:sRNA from 1 species
AUAUAGACCUCGUGCUUGUCAAUAAAAACAUAGGCUUCCUUUAAGCUACCUUGCCCUAAAGCUAGCGAUUUGACUUCACUACCUUUUAAGACUAAGCCAGCACAAUAACCCGUUAAAAGGUAAUAGUCAUAUUGCGCUCUGGGAUUGUUGACAAGUACUCGCAUCUGUAGAUGAAAAUCUCUGUUAUUAUCUCCACUUACAACUGUGGUGCUUUAAUUGUGAA